rnacentral:sRNA from 1 species
GCUGGGUGUGGUGACACACACCUGUAAUCCUAGCUACUUGGGAGGCUGAAGCAUGAGAAUUGCUUGAACCUGGGAAACAGAGGUUGCAGUGAGCAGAGAUCAUGCCACUGCACUCCAGCCUGGCAACACAGAGAGACUGUCAAAAAAAAAAAAAAAAAAAAGCCCCAAAAAGCAAAAAACAAAAAACAAACAAAAAAAAAUCUUCAUUUUUGAGACAGAGUCUCACUCUAUCACCCAGGCUGGAAUGCAGUGGCAUGAUCUCCGCUCACUGCAACCUCCAUUUCCCAGGUUCAAGCAAUUCUCAUGCUU